CCGAGUGAGGGCCCUCUGGGUCCAACCUCCCACCCGUGUUUAUUCUACCUUGUUGCUUCGGCGGGCCCGCCUCACGGCCGCCGGGGGGCACUCGCCCCCGGGCCCGCGCCCGCCGAAGACACCAAUGAACUCUGUCUGAAGAUUGCAGUCUGAGCAGAUUAGCUAAAUCAGUUA
rnacentral:misc_RNA from 1 species